GGCGGGCGAAGGGCUGCGGGCCCGAGGCCAGAAGGCGUAGGCCCGGAGGUGGAGCAAGGAGCCAGGGGCGCGGGGCGAGGCCAGGCUCAGGCGCCAGCCCCACCACGAGACCCUGUGGGCUGGGCUCGGGGUUCCCGGCCAUGUUGGUGGCGCAGAAGUUCAGGCCGGGCAAGGGCGAGCGUGGCGCCGCCCGUGCGUGUCUCCAGCCCGGUUGCAGGCGCCGAAGCCCCGCUACUGGGCCGUGUGGGCGAGUGUCCCCACAGGGGGAGGAUGCGGCCGGCGGCCGGCCAGGCGGCUCGUGUCUCCUUUCCAAGGAGACGUGGGAAAGGCGACCAGGAGGCGGAGGAGACGCCUCUCUCCUGCCUCGGAAAAGCAGGUGAGCGCCUUCACCUUAGGGCGUCGUGGAGCCCGUAGGUGGAAGUCGAGGACGGCCGUGACGUCAGGGUGGGACCGGGAGAGCUUAGCACGUACAAAGCCGGACUGCGCGACAGUUUCUCGGCGACGACACUGUUCUGUGUGUACGUGGUCACGUGUCUUUAUACACACGUGUACCACACAUCAAGUACGAAGUUCAAGAUGUACGAAGUUCAAGAUAAACGAAGAGCUGUGAAACCAUCACCACAAGCAAGUUUGGAACAUGCUCGUCACUCCAAGAAGAAACCUCCUUUUUAGCAGUGCCCCACCACACCCCUUCUGCAACCCCUGGCGAUUACUAAUCUGAUUUCUGCCGCUAUGGAUCUGCCUAUUCUGAACAUUUGUGCAAAUGGAGUCAUACAAUAGUACAGGGCCUUUUUCACUCAGCAUAUCGUUCACCCACAUUGUAGCAGGUGUCAGUACACCUCAUUUUAUUGCCAAAUAACAUUCUAUUGUAUAUUCUAAUCCAUUUUAAUGCAUUCAUUGUAUAGACAUACCACAUUUUUACCCAUUAAGGUGAUCGGCAUUUGGAUUUUUUUCCCACAUGUUUGAUACUAUGAAUAACACUGCUAUGAAUAUUCACGAACAAGAUUUUGUGUAGACCUAUGUUUUCAUUCUCUUGGGUAUAUACACAGGAGUAGAAUUGCUGGGUCGUAUGGUCACACUAUGUUUAACUUUUUGAGGAACUGCCAGACUACCUUCCAAAGUGACUGCAUUGUUUUACAUUCCCAGCAGCAGUGAAUAAGCCUUCCAAUUUCUCCACAUCCUUGCGAACAGUUACCAUUAUCUGUCCUUUUUGGUUAUAGCCAUUCUAGUAUGAGGUGAUCUCUCGUGGUUUUGAUUUGCAUUUCCCUAGUGACUACAGAUACUGAGCACCUUUUUGUGCGCACAUUGGUCAUCUGUGUAUCUUUAUUGGAGAAGUUUCUGUUCAAGUCUUUUGCCCAUUUUUUGGUUUACUUUUUAGUAACCGCUACACCAAACGUGGAACUUGAACUUACAACCCCAGGAUCAAGAGUCGCACGGCCUUCCGACUGAGCCAUCUAGGCACCCCUCCUUUGCCCAUUUUUUAAUGGUUUGCCUUUUUAUUAUGGAGUUGAAAGUGUUUUUAUAUAUUCUAGACACAAGACCCUUAUCACAUCUUUUGUUUGCAAAAAAUUUUUCUCAUUCUGUGGGUUGUCUUUUCACUUUCUUCGUGGUGUCCUUUGGAAUACAAAGGUUUUAAACUUUGCUGAGGCCCAACACAUAUAUGUGUGUGUGUGUAUGUAUGUGUAUAUAUAUGUAUGUAUGUGUGUAUAUGUGUGUAUGUAUAUAUUUGUAUACAUGUAUAUAUGUAUAUAUGUAUAUAUACACACACCACAAUAAGAGAAACCUCACCAAAAUAGAGUCCCGAGGCCAAAAGGGGGAGCCAUACCACUCCAUGUGGAUUACAGGAAUUGUGAAUUACAGACCCAACCUAAGAAUCCUUGGGAAUAAAGGAUCAUCAGUUAUAGGCCCCUACAGGAAGAGGUGAACAUUGCAUGUGCACGAAAACAAGGACCACUCCUGCAACUCAGCCAAGAAACGCUCAUCACCAGGAACUCUUGCUUCUCUCCAAAAGACUUUAGUUUGAGGCAGUGCCUCCCAAAGUCCUCCUUCUGCAUAAACUAAAGUUCCUCUCCUCUGUUGCACUGGACUAUAGCUGGCAUGUCCCUAAUUGCUCUUCUCUGCUAUUUCCAAAUAAACCCAUUUUUGCUGGUAAA